rnacentral:misc_RNA from 1 species
UCUCCGUUGGUGAACCAGCGGAGGGAUCAUUACCGAGUUUACAACUCCCAAACCCAAUGUGAACCAUACUAAACUGUUGCCCCGGCGGGGUCACGCCCCGGGUGCGUCGCAGCCCCGGAACCAGGCUCGCGCCGGAGGGGCCAACCAAACUCUUUGUGUAGUCCCCUCGCGGACGUUAUUUCAUACUGCUCUGAACAGAAAUUCAAGAAGUGUCAAAACUUUCAACAACGGAUCUCUUGGUUCUG